AACGAACGCUGGCGGCAGGCCUAACACAUGCAAGUCGAGCGAGGACUUCGGUCCUAGCGGCGGACGGGGGAGUAACGCGUGGGAACGUGCCCUUUGCUUCGGAAUAGCCCUGGGAAACUGGGAGUAAUACCGGAUGAGCCCUUUGGGGGAAAGAUUUAUCGGCGAAGGAUCGGCCCGCGUUGGAUUAGGUAGUUGGUGGGGUAAUGGCCUACCAAGCCGACGAUCCAUAGCUGGUUUGAGAGGAUGAUCAGCCACACUGGGACUGAGAAACGGCCCAGACUCCGACGGGAGGAAGCAGGAGGGAAUCCGCCGCAAUGGGCGAAAGCGUGACGGAGCAACGCCGGGUGAGGGAUGAAGGUCUUCGGAUCGGAAAACUCUGGGAUUAGGGAAGAACAAAUGGGUAAGUAACUAUGCACGUCUGGACGGUACCUAAUCAGAAAGCCACGGCUAACUACGGG
rnacentral:rRNA from 1 species